UUUUAUCUUCUGAAUCUGCUGCAUUAAGCAGUCAUGCCCCCAAGGGAAAAGUGUAUUGCUCUGUUUCUGCUUGAUAGCACACAACCAAAAUGCAUAUUGAAACUCUGGGAUUCUGAGCCAGCAGUGCUAAGCGAUGGAAAAGGUUUGGGGAUUCAAGAUAAGUAACACAUCUUUCAGUAACACAUCCCUGCCAAGGAAAUUGCUUGGAGAAGAGUACACAAAGGAGCCUGCAAAAACACAAUGUGUCUAGGAACUCUCCUUCUUUUACUACUUCCCCACUGCCAUACUGAAGAGAGAGCUGCAAGGGGUGUGGUAGAUAUCUAAGAAAAUACAAGGAAUCCUACAACUCUCACAAUGAACAUUUAUAUAUUUAUAUGGAAAUCAACUCCCACUGAAUUCAACAGGGCUUGCUUCCUUAUAAAUGCACCGGUGGGGAAACAGUGGAAUCGAACAUUUUCAAGAAAAGCAUAACAGAAGAAAAAAAUAUACAUACAAAAUGGACUUUUCAGCUUUAUAAGUUCAAAGACAGCAGAACAAAGCAAAGUUUGGUCCAAAUGAUAUAUGAAACUUCUACAAAGGGUAUGAAUAUAUUUUCAUUAUCUUUGCAGGUCUCUACGCAGAAGUCCUGUUUUUCCCUCUGUAACACAAAAUCCCUUGCAAAGUGAACUUGUCAUCGUAGUGGCAAUUUCAUUCCACAAUAUAAUGUACCAAUACAGAAUAUCAAAAUAAAUACAGGAUCUACUCAUUAAAUUCUAUAUGAAUCCAGUAGUUUCUUUAAUCAGCUAUUAGACUGGGUCUAAGCAUUUAAAUAUUGUUUGGUCAUUACAAAACCAUGUAGAAGGUGGUACUAGCACCUUCUUGCUAAUUUAUUUAUCAGCAAAACUGAAGAGUUUUACUGGACAAAACCUUUCAGGCCAGAGAUGUAGAAUCAAAUGCUUCUGCAUGCAGAGAGAAGCCUAGCAUAUCAGAAAGUAAUUAGUUUUUUUUUUCUCUCUCCCCUAAAGAACACUGGUUUAGCAAGGGGUUAAUUUAAACAUGUAAUUGAUUAUCCACCUGUAACCUGAACUGGUAACAUCCAGAUUUUUUUUUCUCUUCAGAGAGAGAGAAAGAGGGAGGGAGAGAUCUCCUGUGUAAAUACUGGGUUCAUUUAAAUGGGUUCCAAAGAAAUUUAACAAUAUUAAAUUUAAAAAGGCAACUAGGCUACCAAUUGGUAAAAAUAACACAGUUCUGUCCAGUAGCAACAGUAGUUUGCAUGAAACUAGUUGCAUUUUCAGCUAUCUCUGAAACAUGCAUCAGCAAAUGAAUUCUGUCACUUGAUUCUAUUGCAGUGUUUCUCAAACUUGGCAACUUUAAGAUGUGUGGACUUCAACUCCCAGAAUUCCC